AAUUUUACUUCAUUUUAUUAUAAGGAAUUGUUACAGAAAAUGCAAAUAUCAGUAUUUGAAAAAUACAUUCCAUUACACAGACUCCAAAGAAACAAUGCUGAUAAGCGCCAUGGUCCUCUAUGAUACCAUCACCCCACACUGAGCACCGCCCCGAAGGGGCUGGAAGCCAGGUGAUCCACCCAAAUGUGUGCCUGCAGUUUCUGUCCAGCUACUGCCCCUCCUCUGGGAUCACGCAGGGAUGUAACAGCCAACUCCACACAUCUGCCAAAAAAAGGGCAAGUCAUCAAGGCGAGCAGUCUCAAGACUCCCUAGCUGCAGAAAACCAAUGUUGUCAGUUGUAACAGGUUAAUAUAUUAUUUAUGCCACACAAAAAAGGAAUUGUACAGGCAAUGAUCUUCCAAAGAAAGUCUUUAAGGCAUCUGUAACUUCUGGGAAUUUCAGCGUUUUUAUCUUGCCAGUCAAGGCUCUCCCCUUUCCCAAGACGUUCCCUGCACUCUGUGCGCAUG
rnacentral:antisense_RNA from 1 species